rnacentral:lncRNA from 1 species
CAGAGCUGGAGGAUUUCUACGUAUAGUCUGUACUCUGAGGGGGCAUAAAAGGGCUGUAACUGCCCCAUUGGAAAGAGUACCGCCUCCCAGACUGCAUCUUUUAGUGAUCUGUAAUGGGGCAAAAAAGGGCUUACCUACUUUGUUGGAAGGAAUGUUUCUGCUCUCCAGAUCGCAUCUUUUACUAGUGGUUCACAAAAGGUCUACCUUUGUAUAGCACACACUUGAAUGACACAUCAUGGCAUCUUUGCUUUGUCUCAAGUCUCCAUCCAGGCAUGCAUUCAGGUCCAGCCAUAUAUUCUGCUGUUCAUCGGGGAAAAAAAAAAAGAUAGAAAAAAAAACAAAGUAAACCACCCAAAAAAG